AAGCGCUUGCAACCAGACUUGCGCGCGGCGGUUCCUCGCGCCUUUUGGCGCGGGUACUCCGUCGUGUUCAGGCCAACAUCGGUUUUGAGGGCCAGUUAAAGGCCCUGGGAAUGUACCUACCCACGGGUAGACUUAUAGACCAGGGUGUCAUGUGGCCUCUCGAGACCGAGGAACGCGCUUCGGCUCGGAUGUUGGCGUAAUGGUUGUCAGCGA
rnacentral:rRNA from 1 species